rnacentral:rRNA from 1 species
AUGAACGCUGGCGGCGUGCCUAAUACAUGCAAGUCGAGCGAACGGACGAGAAGCUUGCUUCUCUGAUGUUAGCGGCGGACGGGUGAGUAACACGUGGAUAACCUACCUAUAAGACUGGGAUAACUUCGGGAAACCGGAGCUAAUACCGGAUAAUAUUUUGAACCGCAUGGUUCAAAAGUGAAAGACGGUCUUGCUGUCACUUAUAGAUGGAUCCGCGCUGCAUUAGCUAGUUGGUAAGGUAACGGCUUACCAAGGCAACGAUGCAUAGCCGACCUGAGAGGGUGAUCGGCCACACUGGAACUGAGACACGGUCCAGACUCCUACGGGAGGCAGCAGUAGGGAAUCUUCCGCAAUGGGCGAAAGCCUGACGGGGCAACGCCGCGUGAGUGAUGAAGGUCUUCGGAUCGUAAAACUCUGUUAUUAGGGAAGAACAUAUGUGUAAGUAACUGUGCACAUCUUGACGGUACCUAAUCAGAAAGCCACGGCUAACUACGUG